UGAUACUAAUGAUCAUGUAGAGUACUAGUUAAUUCUAGAAAUAUAGGCUUCAUCUAGCUUCCUCUAUAUUAUUUUGGGCUCGAGUCUGAAGCAGUUAAGUAAAAAUUAAUUUUGUGUACCUCAGAUAUACUUAUUAGAUUGUGGCCCAUUAACUUCUCUGAGAUCUCCUGCAUAUGGCAUUUAAAAUGUUUAAGUGUUCUUAAAUGACCCAUGACCAUUCUUAACAGUGAUCUUUGAAAUCUCCAAAAGGAUGAUGGGACCCCACAGUGACAAUUCCUCCUGGGUUGUGGUAACACUAUUAAGCUGACAAACACCACCCAAAGAUCAGCUUUGAACUACAAACUGCUCAGGAUAAUUUUAAGUGGAUUAGCUGGGAGGGUCCAGAUUCAUCGACUACUCCAAGCAGGACUUCAGAUAAGUCCUGCAUUUUCCCAUUAAGCACAGACUGAACAACCAGUGUUAUAACUAGUUUCCCCAGUUCUUGACCAUUAUCUCAGUUUUCUCAGGGUCCCUUAAAGAUGCCAUCAUUCCAAGACAACCCACAUCUAAGAAAAUGUUUUGAGGUCUAAAAUGAUAGUUUUGGGUUGGUAAUACAAGUUAGGACAGAAAGUGAAUUAGGUAUCAAACUUUGGACUCACCAAGACAGGAUAGAUAAUAAUGUAGUUUCUCCGAAUUGCUAAUGUACUGGACAUUGUGAAUGUAAUCCUUACUUGAUAAUUUCUUCUUCUUAUAUACAGUUUUACUGUGUUAGAGUUAAAACCUUUUCUUUUUAUUUAAACAAAUAUAAGGAAACAUUGGGGAAUAUCCAAUCAAUUGGUGAACUCCAAGUUUGCACUUUGCAUUAAUUAAAUAAAAUUAACCUUGGGCCAGGAAGUUGAGUAAGCAACUAGUUGACAGAGAGUAAUCAUAGAGCAUCAGAGGGCAUUCGGGAGAGACAGAGCAGCAUGGCUUUUUGUUCAUUUGUUUGUUUGGCAAAGUAGAAGGACAUGCUCUUUUGGAGACACGAGCAUGGAGAGAAGGUUAGCUUGGUGCUACUCAACCUCCCUGAGCCAGCAGGUUUUCACUCCAGCCUUUGACUCUCGAGUCUUAUUUAUAAAUAAAACAAUAGAGAUUUAGUUAAAUUUAACAGCAGCAGAGUCAAUGCCUGUGGGAACAGAAUUCCUGCCAGGCUAUGGCCUGAGGGGCUGGGCUGCUUCCUGAGAAGCAGGCCUGUAACUGCAGAGUUGCAACUGUUGGCUGAAAUAGUCAUAGAUUAAGGUGCAGUCACUGUGCCAAAGUUAAAACAACACCCGUCAGCAGUUCUACAGGCUGAAGAGUGUUGUUUGCAGGUAGUUCAUCUGUUCUAAACCUCUUCCUGGCAACUGACUGUUCUCUGCUUCCAAGCUGCAAAGUUGGUCCUCUAGGAAGCUCAGUUUAAGAGUCUUCUUUGCAGCUUGGUUUAUUUAAAAGUAUCUCUCAGCAGUCUCUACAGGUUACAUAUGCUCCAGGAGGGUGGGGCCUAGUGACUCUGGUCAGUUUCAGGGACUUCCUGAGGCUAUUUUGAAUUGUUUUAUCUCCCCUUAGAACAUCCUGUUACUUUACCACAUUAUAAACACCUUCCAUAUUAAUGAGAUUGCUUCUAAAUUCAGUGAUUUUAAUCACAGAGGAAACUCCGACACAACACUUGUCCCAUCCUCCCUCAUUUCUUCCCAGGAUGCUAAGUUGACUAACCCUCUGUCAUCUUCCAUUGCCUUGAUGUACCACUUCACGUCAGGCCCAGAUCUCAGGGGGUAGGUAGGGGACAUGGAACUGAAGACUCUGAAGCCCUGAGCCAAAAUAAGUCCAUCUUCCCUUGAGUUAUUUCUCAUGGGUAUUUGCCACAACAAUGGAAUGUCUAGCCUAGGCAGGACUAGCCUAGUAUUACUUCCUGAGUGAUGGAAUCUCCUGCUUCUAAUCCCGCUUACCAACAGGCCCUCCUGAUACUGCUGUUACAUCCUUCUUAGCAUAGCACAUAAAGCUUAAGUUCCCCAUCAGGCUCAGCCUUCCACUUUCUAGUCCUGUGAUUAUGAAAUGGCAGUUCAGAUAAUGUAAAUCCAAAUCCAAGGUUCAGCAGUUUAAAGAAAGCUGAGCUUGUGGGGGAGGACAUUUAAACUCUCCACACUUUUGAUGGAGGAGUUACUUUCAUUUAAUAAAGAAACUGCCUUGGCCCAUUUGAUAGGUCAACUCUUAGGUGGGUGGAGUAAAUAGAACAGAAUACUGGGAGAAAGAAGCCAAGUCAGGGAGUCUCCAUGAUUCUCCCACUCUAGACAGACACAGGUUAAGAUAUUUCCUGGUAAGCCAGCUUGUGGUGCUACACAGAAUAUUAGAAAUGGGUUAGAUCGAUAUAUAAGAGUUAGCCAAUAACAAGCUGGAACUAAUGGGCCAAGCAGUGUUUAAAUGAAUACAGUUUCCAUGUAAUUAUUUCAGGUAAAGCUAGCUGGGUGGUGGGACACAGUCCGCCGCUCCUAUCAACACACUUUAGUUUCUUCCCUCUAUAAAAUGGGAGUGGUGACACUCCUCAUCUAUCAAGUCAUAGGAUUAAACACAGACUAUCUGAUCUCCAGUGAAAGCUGAGCAAACUCUAGCCAGCAUUAUCAUUGUUUCUGACAUCUUGCCUGAGUCCCCUAUGUGUACCCUGAGCUCCAGCUGGCAGGAAACAACCAACUCGAGGUUAUGUGUCUCUGGUUUGUUUAAGUUAGAAAGCUCUGUCUACCCCUGCCUGCACAAACAGCUAACAAGCUAUCUCUCAACACCACUCAUUCCAAGAGAACGUGCUGAAUUCUGCCAACUUUCCCUCCUUUUAGUCCCCAAUAAUUCCAUGCAACUUUCCUAGACUUCUGACAUUCAGUUUUGCAUAAUUCAUUUUACUUUGGAGAGAUAUCUUAUUUCUCCUUGAUUUUCUGUUAAUGCUAUUGACUGGAUUUCUUCUGAGAUUUGAUGGAACUAUUUGGAUGCAGAGACCCUCACUGAGGUGAAGGCAUCCUCCUACUAAGAUUAUCCCUUGGGUUCACUUUUAUACAUGCUUUUCUGAACUUGAUAUAAUUUGGCAAGUUGAUAUCAAUAAGCCUAAAACUAGACUAAACAUGGAGGUAGGAGAAAAAGUCAGGAAGAAAGAAGAAAUCAAGAAUUCAUUGCAUCUAUGUGACUUAGCUUAGUUUCUUUUCAUUUUCUAUAUGUAAAUAUAUUAUCACAUUCCUUCUAUUCUUUUCUUAUACAACACAUAGAAGGUUUUUGUUUGCUUUUUCUAUGAUUAUACAAAGCAGAAGAAACUCAGAGAGGGUCCUUGCCCAAGUUACAGUGGCCCUGGAAUCUCUGAGGGUAUCAAUAGAUUCUGAAUUAUUUCUGAUAUUCACUCAGUAAAUAUCUAAACUCUAGCUCUGCUGAGAACUGUGUUGGCAUUUGAGGGAUGCGGGUAGGCAAGAUGAAUCUUUUCUUUUGCCCUCAUGAAACCUGCAAUCUGAUGAGGACACAAUCAAACAGGUAAGUUAUAUAGCUGGCAAACCCUGCAGUCACAGGUACAAAGGUCAGAGACCAAUUGUUGACCCUACAUAAGGCAGAGUUGCUGUGUAGUACCAGAAGUCACCAUCCUGCUCAGAGGCAGGGAGUUCAUUUACAUACAUAAGAAAUAAAAAUAGGCCUUGGUCAGGACAAAAUAAUACUGGUUUUAAAUGAUGUCUGGUGUAUAAGUUGUUUCUGGUUCUAGAUGGAAAAUGUUGCUUUAUAUUUGUUUCUGACUUUGAAUGCCUUGGAACACUGCACAACUACAGUCCUCUCUCCAGACCCCUUACAGCUCUCUGCAUAUCCCAUGAUCCAUAGUCAGCAAUUCUGUCACCAUUUGAAUGCCUGUGUCUUCACUCUUUGCCUCUCCUGGAGUCUCCAGCCCUAGCCCAUGCAAUCUGGAACACAACAGGGACUCAGUAAGUGAUGACUAGAAGAAGAAGAAUGUCUCACACAAGGCUUCCAUAGAGACUAGGAAGUGUAUUUCAGCUCCUCCUGUGUCUGAAGUCCAAAUCCUGCUAGGUAUGCUCCACCCUAGAUGUUGAGUUGAACUUUAGCCUGCUAAACUGAAGGGAGAGACUAGCGUGGGAAGAGGAGCUCAUGUUGUCUUACACCAUGGACCGUCCAACCCUCUUGUUCUUACACACUCCAUGACAGGUCAGGAGCCAAGGUGGAACUGGCUGCCGCUGGACACAGUCGCUGAUAGGUGGACCAGUAGGCCAUCUCUAAGGUGUGAUGGAUCUAUGCUUUGACCCCAUCAAAACUGUGGGUCUCAGGACCCUUGUGGAGGUUCUGAGGGAGAUCUAGAACACUGUGAGAAAGAGCCUGAGGAAGCCAGGUAGAGAUUGAAGGUUGGAGAAUGGAAUAACUUCUGAAGGCUGAUUUGUCUUUCUCAAGUGGGAGAACUGUGGAGAGACAGUUCUCAUAUCUCUAAGGAUGCCGAAACUGAGAUAAAUGUGGAGACAGACCAGGGAGUAGGAAGUGGCCACCUUCUGAAGGAGGAGAGGGAGAGAGGAAAGAAAGACUGCAGAGACAAGUACUGAGGACAUUUCUGUACGUUCAAGUGUGCAAAAGUGGGCAGACCAUUACCUUUUCUACCUUGACUCACUUCCUCUGACCCUGGGUGAGCCUUAGAAGGAGGUAGAGCUCCAGGGAACAGCAAACAACACUUAGGCCAGAGUGACACAGUGUGGCUCAUACCAUCAGUGUUGGCGAUCUCAUGGAACUCUUCAGAUGUUAUUUCCAAGAAGUAAUCAGAAGUGACCUCAAUUAUUUUUAUUCUGAUUUUCUUGUUUUUCAGAGAAAGCAUCCGAAUACUGUUGUUAUCUAGUCCCAGGUUGACAUAGUCUGUACCAAAACACAUGUUAAACUUAGUCACCAAUCUAAAGUAUUGGGAGAUGGAACUUACUGAGAGGUGAUUAGGCCCCCAGGAAUUGACUUCAUUUGGCCCAUUCGCUGGGCUUAAAAGCUUCUCAGAUCUUGCCGAAGGCCAUGCACUAUGGAGAGACAGAGCCUGCGCUAAAUCUUCCCUUUGCACUAGGUCAUAGCUCUGGAGGCUGGCAAGUCAAAGAUGUGUCACUGUUAUCUACCCAGCUUCUGGUGAAGGCCGUGAGCUGCUUUCAGCUCCUGGUGGGAAACAGGAGAACAUGUCAGCAUGUGGAGAAGAAACAAGACUUACGACAACCCUUUCUCAAGUUUGCCAUUCUGUCCCUACAAAAGUGACAGCUCACUGGAGUGAGAAAGCUCAAGAAGGCAGGAGAAGGCCCAGCAAGAGCCAGGAUCUGCAAAUAAAGCCGCCACCAGGCGGGACCUUGGGAUAUCACCAGUUCUCUGUGGACACGUGGGGAACUUGACAUGGAAAUCUGAGACCACCUUCAAAUCCUGGGCCUCAGCCGGAUAAAGCAAUGGAGCUUUCGGCUGGAUGCUGUGGCUGAGGCACAGGAAGUGUGGCCCAAGCUCAAGCCAGGAAGUGCCUUGAUUCAGCUCAUUGCACAUGGCGGGCCUUCCUCACAGCUCUCCAGAGCAACUGCUGGACCAGCCUCCAGGAAUGUGAGACUUUUCCCCAUCCUGCACUUGGCUCCACGUCCUUUUCCCCACUGCCAACCAGAGAGCUGCGUAUGUUACUCUUGCUCGUAGAGAAGACAGCCAGGGGAAAAACAGGAGAACGAGGCUUCGACGUGCUUCUGAGGACCCAGCAAGGCGUGUGCUCAUGAAUGGUUCAACCAACAGGAGAAAGACGUCUUUUACUGUUUCUCUUCGGUCCCACUGGGGUGUCUAAGGGAAGCAGAGUAACUGGCAGGCAGGAUGUUUUCUUUUCUCUUGCCUGCAUGUCUUACCCUGAUCUUGAACUGAGAGAAAUAAUUCGUUAACGUGACAGAAUCUAAAAUCACCGGGCAUGCCUGUGGGGGAUUAUUAUCUUGGUUGUUUGUACUGAAGUAGAAAGACUCACCGGGGGUGACACCAUUCCCUGGCUAGGACCUGGGACUGCAAAUGGGGACAGGAACUGAGCAGCAGACAAGCAUUCUUGCACUUUGCUUCUCACGGGGAUGCCACGUUACCCAGCAGGUUCAAGCUUCUACUGCUUUGACAGCCGUGUCACAUUGGACUGUGCCCUUCAGCUGUGAAGGAAUCCUUUUCCCUCAGUCACUUUUGUCAUCGAGUUUAUCAUGCAUUCAUGGAGACGUUAAGAGGACAGGUAAAGCACCAGCCAUCUCAACCGACUUCAGGAAGUCACCAGGUACAAAACAUGCAGGCAGGACUGAGCCCUCUGCUGCUGUGCCUGGGUUUGUCCACCCUCGGUGGUGAGCUGGUGUAAUUGAGUGGUGGGCUCUGGGGACUGACAGGGAACUUGGAAAGGCGAGACUCUUCUGACCUUGUUAGAGGGUGAAAAUUAGGUCAAGAGACUCCUACAGGGAGUGGUGGCAGCCUUGGCUGGCCUCCAAGUCUCCUGAGGGUUUCUGCUCUACCACAACAUCAGCAAGAAAUCCCUUCUGCUACCUGGGCUGUGUAAACAGAUCCCCAAAUGUCUCAGGAACACCAUAAUUUAUCUUCCUCUUAUACCACUGUGCAAGGAAGCUGAGACUCAGAAAUAAAAUGUUUAGAAGGAUGAAGUGACCUGUUCCAUAUGCUUAGUUCUAAAGCAGGUUUGGGCACCCGGCCCUCCCUUCCCCAUACCCUCUUGGCAGACAGCUUUCCUCAGAGGCCAGGGCAUUGGAUUCAUACAAUGCUAACAAUGCCUGUCGCU